CCGCGUGUGUGAAGAAGGCCUUCGGGUUGUAAAGCACUUUCGGACGGAACGAAAUCGCGCGAUCUAAUAAGUCGCGUGGAUGACGGUACCGUAAGAAGAAGCACCGGCUAACUACGUGCCAGCAGCCGCGGUAAUACGUAGGGUGCGAGCGUUAAUCGGAAUUACUGGGCGUAAAGUGUGCGCAGGUGGCUGAGCAAGUCGAGUGUGAAAUCCCCGGGCUUAACUUGGGAAUUGCGCUCGAAACUACUUGGCUCGAGUGUGGCAGAGGAAGGUGGAAUUCCAGGUGUAGCGGUGAAAUGCGUAGAGAUCUGGAGGAACACCGAUGGCGAAGGCAGCCUUCUGGGCCAACACUGACGCUCAUGCACGAAAGCGUGGGGAGCAAACAGGAUUAGAUACCCUGGUAGUCCACGCCCUAAACGAUGAUGACUAGUUGUUGGGGGAGUUAAAUCCCUUAGUAACGCAGCUAACGCGUGAAGUCAUCCGCCUGGGGAGUACGGUCGCAAGAUUA
rnacentral:rRNA from 1 species